CAGCAGCCGCGGGAAUACGUAGGGUGCAAGCGUUAAUCGGAAUUACUGGGCGUAAAGCGUGCGCAGGCGGUUUUGUAAGACAGAGGUGAAAUCCCCGGGCUCAACCUGGGAACUGCCUUUGUGACUGCAAGGCUAGAGUACGGCAGAGGGGGAUGGAAUUCCGCGUGUAGCAGUGAAAUGCGUAGAUAUGCGGAGGAACACCGAUGGCGAAGGCAAUCCCCUGGGCCUGUACUGACGCUCAUGCACGAAAGCGUGGGGAGCAAACAGGAUUAGAUACCCCAGUAGUCCCUGUCUUUUAUAC
rnacentral:rRNA from 1 species